rnacentral:rRNA from 1 species
AGCAGCCGCGGUAAUUCCAGCUCCAAUAGCGUAUAUUAAAGUUGUUGCAGUUAAAAAGCUCGUAGUUGAAUUUCGGGAUCAAUACGUCGGUCAUGCUUUUUGGUACGAACUGGCGUCAUUGGUUUCUCCUUUCUGACGAACCAUGAUGUCAUUAAUUUGGUGUUAUGGGGAGUUGGGACUGUUACUUUGAAAAAAUUAGAGUGUUUAAAGCAGGCAUAAGCUUGAAUACAUUAGCAUGGAAUAAUGAAAUAGGACGUUCGAUCCUAUUUUGUUGGUUUCUAGGAUCAACGUAAUGAUUAAUAGGGAUAGUUGGGGGCAUUAGUAUUCAAUUGUCAGAGGUGAAAUUCUUGGAUUUAUUGAAGACUAACUACUGCGAAAGCAUUUGCCAAGGAUGUUUUCAUUAAUCAAGAACGAAAGUUAGGGGAUCGAAGACGAUCAGAUACCGUCGUAGUCUUAACCAUAAACUAUGCCGACUAGGGAUCGGAUGAUGUUAAUUUUUUAAUGACUCA